CCCAGCCCACCCACCCCUCGCCCCUCGCUUUGAUCCCAAGGUACCGCGCGGUUCCCGGCCAGUUCAUGAUUUUGGCUUCUGCGGGCUCUGAUCAGUGAAUAUAUUUCUGCUUGUAAGAGGGUGUUUGGUUGGACGGUAAACUUGCUGCACAAUUGGACCUCGUUACAUGCAGUGAAACAAAUUACCACAUCACUGUUUACGGGUCUCCUUUGACUGCAGAAGCUGAAUAUCACUCCCUCUGUUCAUAAAUAAGUGAUGUGCAAAGAGGUGAUUUGUUUCUUGGAAUUUGGAAGAGGAAGACGAUGAAGCAUUCUGGUUGUACUUCAUAGCUAGUUUCAUUGUAUUUUGUACUGGUCUGGU